UACGAACUGUGCGAACGUUAUUCGGAAUCACUGGGCUUACAGGGUGCGUAGGCGGCUCAACAAGUCAGGUGUGAAAGCCCCCGGCUCAACCGGGGAACUGCGCUUGAAACUGUUAGGCUCGAGUCAGCUAGAGGUACACGGAACUUCCAGUGGAGCGGUGAAAUGUGUUGAUAUUGGAAGGAACACCGGGGGCGAAAGCGGUGUACUGGGGCUGGUCUGACGCUGAGGCACGAAAGCCAGGGGAGCGAACGGG
rnacentral:rRNA from 1 species